rnacentral:rRNA from 1 species
GAUGAACGCUGGCGGCGUGCCUAAUACAUGCAAGUCGAGCGAAGGGGGGACGGGGGAGUAACGAGUGGAUAACCUGCGAUAAGAAUGGGAUAAAGUCGGGAAACACGAGGUAAACCGGAUACUUAUAUGUGGAUGCGCGGUGCAUUAGCUAGUUGGUAAGGUAACGGCUGACCAAGGCAACGAUGCAUAGCCGACCUGAGAGGGUGAUCGGCCACACUGGAACUGAGACACGGUCCAGACUCCUACGGGAGGCAGCAGUAGGGAAUCUUCCGCAAUGGGCGAAAGCCUGACCGAGCAACGCCGCGUGAGUGAUGAAGGUCUUCGGAUCGUAAAACUCUGUUAUUAGGGAAGCGGUAUCUAAUCAGAAAGCCACGGCUAACUACGUGCCAGCAGCCGCGGUAAUAC